rnacentral:rRNA from 1 species
AGUGAACGCUGGCGGUAGGCCUAACACAUGCAAGUCGAACGGCAGCACAGUAAGAGCUUGCUCUUACGGGUGGCGAGUGGCGGACGGGUGAGGCAUACAUCGGAAUCUACUUUUUCGUGGGGGAUAACGUAGGGAAACUUACGCUAAUACCGCAUACGACCUACGGGUGAAAGCAGUGGAUCUUCGGACCUUGCGCGAUUGAAUGAGCCGAUGUCGGAUUAGCUAGUUGGCUGGGUAAAGGCCCACCAAGGCGACGAUCCGUAGCUGGUCUGAGAGGAUGAUCAGCCACACUGGAACUGAGACACGGUCCAGACUCCUACGGGAGGCAGCAGUGGGGAAUAUUGGACAAUGGGCGAAAGCCUGAUGCAGCCAUACCGCGUGGGUGAAGAAGGCCUUCGGGUUGUAAAGCCCUUUUGUUGGGAAAGAAAAGCAGCAGGUUAAUACCCCGAUGUUCUGACGGUACCCAAAGAAUAAGCAACGGCUAACUUCGUG